ensembl:lncRNA
GCCGCCAUCCCUUCCCUCUCGCCAGAUGGUAUAGGGUUGUUCUUUCUACUUUGUGCCUCAGAUCUACAACCCCCAUCUAAUCAAUGACUGGGUCCUGUUUACUCUGCCUUUGGAAUAACUCUUAAAUCAAUACCCUUGUUCCUUCUGGUCAAAGUGCUGUGACUUUCGUUUUGGCCACCAUCAGCCCUUGCCAGGAUGACCACAGCAUAUUCUCACCCAUCAAUCAUCUCUCUCCUUUCCCUCCCCUUCGCCUCCACCAAAAUCCACUUUCCACAUUGAAACCAGUGUGAUCUCUUUAAAAUACAGACCUGAUUAUGUCACUGUCUUUUUCCUGAGUCCCAGAAUCUAGUUCAAACACUUAACCAUGAUAGAGAAUGUCUUUUAUAAUCUGACCUUUUCUUUCUCUUACCGUUCAUGUAUCUCACUUCAGUUGUGUCCGACUCUUUGCAACCCCAUGGACUGUAGCCUUCCAGAAGCCUCUGUCCAUGGACUUCUCCAGGCAAGAAUACUUGAAUGGGUAGCCAUUCCCUUCUCCAGGGGAUCUUCCUGACCCAGGGAUUGAACCCACGUCUCCCACAUUGCAGGCAGAUUUUUUACAGUCUGAGUCACCAGGGAAGGCUCUUUAGGAGUUCCACACAUGUUUGAUUCAAAUGUGUGUUUUAAGUCUAUUUUCCUUAUUUAAAAAUUAAAAGUAUUCAUAAAAAAUGUAUUCUAUACCACAGUUCUAUGUAUUAAGAACCAUCAAUUUGGAUGAUCAAGUUAAUUCUGAGGUAGGAAUUUCUACCUUUUUGGUGAAUAUACUUGAAGCUCUUGUGAAUGUGUCAUUAUUUUGAAAAGUUGGUAGUUUGCACACUUUUUUUUAAAAAUUAGGCACUGCUGAUCUGCUUAAGUACAAAUUGUUCGUCAUUACUACAAAUCUCGAUUAAAUCAGAAACAAAGCUAAGGCUCAUAGCUUUGGCACAUGUAUCAAAGCAUCCUAUUUUACUAGAGAUAUUUUAGACUUACUUUAUGAUUGGGGUGUUUGUCACUGACUUUUAUAUCAUGAGGGGACGUGCAAGCCCUUGAUAAAUAUUGCUGUGGUUACGUUUUUUUUAACUGUGACUGUCAGCCAUUAGAUACCUUCUCAGAAGAAGUUAUGGGACAUUUUAAAUUAAAUUAAAUUUAUUUAUUAAAAAAUUGUUUGGGGCCACAUCAAGCUAGUAUGUGUGAUCUUAGUUCUCCAGCCGGGGAUCAAAUCCAUGCCCCUUGCAUUGAAAGCACAGAGUCUUAACCACUGGAACACAAGGGAAUGCCUGUUGUGAUUGCAUUUUGUAACUAAAAUCUCUUUAACCACUUGCCUAAGUUUUUGGAUUCAUUCAUUUGAAGCAUAUACCCUGAAAGGAGAGCUGUUAAAAACCCAUACUUUCCAUUUGAAUCUAUCUUUCUGGGUGAAUUUGAAUUUUCCAGUUACUUUAAAAUACAUAUAAAAUUUUAAGGCCAAAGGCAAUUGAAAUAAAUAAUUUGGGUGCAGAAAUCAAAAUAAAGCUAAGCAUAACACUUAAUUUCAAGUAUUUAUCUUCAUCAUAAUACUUAACAACAAUUAUCUUCUUGUUCUUAUUGAUUGAUAAGUGUUAAAAAUAUAAAUGUUCAAAAUAAAUUUAUAUUAGUAACAUAUCAUAUUUAUCUGUUUUAGAGAAUUGAGCUCCGAGACAAAUUUCUUUUAAAAAGACUUGUUACAGUGCUUAAGAAAAGAAACAAGUGAGAACCUUUGAGGUCUUAGCUCAGCCUCUGUCUCUCCCUUAGUCCUAGGAAGGCAUUCAUAAUGUGUCCACUUGAUGUGGAAGAGAAAACAACCACUCAGUGCCCAUGACCACAUUUUCUGUCCCAGCCCAGGAUCAACUUUUUUAAAAAAGCUUAAUUAUUUAUUUGGCUGCAUCAGGUCUUAGCGGUGGCAUGAGGAGUCUUAGAUCUUUAUUGCAGCACUGGGGAUCUUUAGUUGCAGCAUUUGAACUCCUAGCUGCUUGUGGGGUGUAGUUCCCUGACCAGGGAUGUGGGAUGUAGUUCCCUGACCAGGGAUCAAACCUGUGGGAUUGGGAGCUUGGGAGUCGUAGUCACUGGAUCACCAAGGAAGUCUUUAGGAUCUGUAGCCACUGGAUCACCAGGGAAGACCCUAAGAUCAGCUCUGAUUCCAAUGGAGAACUGUCCCUUUCCUGUUGCUCCGUCCUUUGACCUCAGUAACAAAAUGACUUUUGAUCACCAAUGCUGGGCCCCGCUCCGGUAGUAACGAAUCUGCCUGCCAGUGCAGGAGCUGCAAGAGAGGGCCCUCCUCCCAGUAAGAUGAGUGAGUGUAUCUCCCAAGGGUGAUAGCAGCGGAUCAAGCCACAGCCUUUACACCACUGACCAUCAGAGGGAUGUGUGGACCCGUCAACGUGGUCAAGCAUUGAGGACCUAAUGAACUGAAUGAAGAAGCAAUAGGUUUCUGAAAACAGACAGAAUCUUGACAGAAUUCUUGGGCUUCUCACCGUUUAAUCUAGAAACAGGGUUCUCCAAGCAGAUAUCAAGCUAAAAAGAAGUGCCCAGAAUGGGAGAAGGGGAA